ensembl:lncRNA
GCACAUUUCAUGUAUAUUAAAUUAUAUUAUAUUAGAGAUGUCUCAGCAUUUAUUAACCCAGAAAAAUAAUCAGAAUCUGUGCUUCACAAGCGUCGGCUUUCACAAUACUUUAUGACAGUGAAUAAUUUUGCAAGUCUAACUAUUCUAAGAGGUUAGAAGGGGGACAGAACUUUUUGUACACCACGUAGAUAAUAAACCAUUGAAAUCGCAUGAGAAAUGUAAAUGUUGCUUUUUAUUUUGAAAAACCACAGCUCCUAUAGAAUAUAAAUACAUGUUUGUGUGUAUAAUUCAGACUAUCUGCAGACUGUUUAUUGUUUCAAUAAAGUUUGAUUUCUUUUUGACAUCUACUAACCCUCAGUCUCUGAAGUUUUUUGUUAGGCUGAAAAGGUCGUUCACCUGUGAGGUGGUUUGUAUGUGGUGUGUGAGGUGUGUGUGGUGUGUGAGGUGUGUGUGAUGUGUAUGGUGUGUGUGGUGUGUGUGGUGUGUGUGUGAGGUGUGUGUGUGGUGUGUGAGGUGUGUAUGGUGUGUGUGUGGUGUGUGUGGUGUGUAUGGUGUGUGUGGUGUGUGUAUGGUGUGUGUGGUGUGUGUGGUGUGUGAGGUGUGUAUGGUGUGUGUGUGUGGUGUGUGUGGUGUGUAUGGUGUGUAUGGUGUGUGUAUGGUGUGUGUAUGGUGUGUGAGGUGUGUGUGGUGUGUAUGGUGUGUGUGGUGUGUGUGGUGUGUAUGGUGUGUGAGGUGUGUGUGGUGUGUGUAUGGCGUGUGUGGUGUGUGUGGUGUGUGUAUGGUGUGUGGAGCUGUGUGUGGUGUGUGUGGUGUGUGUGGUGUGUAUGGUGUGUGAGGUGUGUAUGGUGUGUGUAUGGUGUGUGUGGUGUUUGAGGUGUGCGUGGUGUGUGUAUGGUGUGUGUGGUGUGUGUGUGUGUAUGGUGUGUGUGGUGUGUGAGGUGUGUGUGGUGUGUGUGGUGUGUGAGUGGUGUGUGAGGUGUGUGUGGUGUGUGUGUGGUGUGUGUGGUGUGUGGUGUGUGUGAGGUGUGUGUGGUGUGUGUGUGCUGUGUGUGUGGUGUGUGUGUGGUGUGUG